AUUGAACGCUGGCGGCAUGCUUUACACAUGCAAGUCGAACAGUAACAGGCCGCAAGGUGCUGACGAGUGGCGAACGGGUGAGUAAUGCAUCGGAACGUGCCCAGUCGUGGGGGAUAACUACUCGAAAGAGUAGCUAAUACCGCAUACGAGCUAUGGAUGAAAGCGGGGGACCGUAAGGCCUCGCGCGAUUGGAGCGGCCGAUGUCAGAUUAGGUAGUUGGUGGGGUAAAGGCUCACCAAGCCAACGAUCUGUAGCUGGUCUGAGAGGACGACCAGCCACACUGGGACUGAGACACGGCCCAGACUCCUACGGGAGGCAGCAGUGGGGAAUUUUGGACAAUGGGCGCAAGCCUGAUCCAGCCAUGCCGCGUGCAGGAAGAAGGCCUUCGGGUUGUAAACUGCUUUUGUACGGAACGAAACGGCUCUGGUUAAUACCCGGGGCUAAUGACGGUACCGUAAGAAUAAGCACCGGCUAACUACGUG
rnacentral:rRNA from 1 species